GCUGGAAUAGCUCAGUUGGUUAGAACGUGUGGCUGUUAACCACAAGGUCGGAGAUUCGAGCCCUCCUUCUAGCG
rnacentral:tRNA from 1 species